GACGAACGCUGGCGGCGUGCUUAACACAUGCAAGUCGAACGGAAAGGCCCUGCUUUUGUGGGGUUCUCGAGUGGCGAACGGGUGAGUAACACGUGAGUAACCUGCCCUUGACUUUGGGAUAACUUCAGGAAACUGGGGCUCAUACCCGAUAGGAGCUCCUGCUCCAUGUUGUGGUUUGGAAAGUUUCGGCGUUUGGGGAUGGACUCGCGGCUUAUCAGCUUGUUGGUGGGGUAGUGGCUUACCAAGGCUUUGACGGGUAGCCGGCCUGAGAGGGUGACCGGCCACAUUGGGACUGAGAUACGGCCCAGACGCCUACGGGAGGCAGCAGGGGGGAAUAUUGCACAAUGGGCGGAAGCCUGAUGCAGCAACGCCGCGUGCGGGAUGACGGCCUUCGGGUUGUAAACCGCUGUGGCCUGUGACGAAGCGUGAGUGACGGUAAUGGGUAAAGAAGCACCGGCUAACUACGUG
rnacentral:rRNA from 1 species